CCUACGGGGGGCAGCAGUAGGGAAUAUUGGACAAUGGGCGCAAGCCUGAUCCAGCCAUGCCGCGUGAGUGAAGAAGGCCCUCGGGUUGUAAAGCUCUUUUGUCCGGGAAGAAAAGCAAUCGGUUAAUACCCGGUUGUUCUGACGGUACCGGAAGAAUAAGCACCGGCUAACUUCGUGCCGGCAGCCGCGGUCGUACGAAGGGUGCAAGCGUUACUCGGAAUUACUGUGCGUGGUUCGUUAGGUCUUGGUUGAAAGCCCUGGGCUCAACCUGGGAAUGGCAUUGGAUACUGGCGGGCUAGAGUGCGGUAGAGGGUAGUGGAAUUCCCGGUGUAGCAGUGAAAUGCGUAGAGAUCGGGAGGAACAUCUGUGGCGAAGGCGACUGCCUGGACCAGCACUGACACUGAGGCACGAAAGCGUGGGGAGCAAACAGGAUUAGAUACCCGUGUAGUC
rnacentral:rRNA from 1 species